AGGCUGAGCAGUACUGUUGAGAGCGGUGUGAGGUGCUUGGUAGCGCGCCGUAGCUGCUUCCACGUCCUUGCUUCACCUCAGGUAAAGAGAGAAGUAAUGGAAGGCCUGUCUGAUGUUGCUUCUUUUGCAACUAAACUUAAAAACACUCUCAUCCAGUACCAUAGCAUUGAAGAAGAUAAGUGGCGAGUUGCUAAGAAAACGAAAGAUGUAACUGUUUGGAGAAAACCCUCAGAAGAAUUUAAUGGAUAUCUAGUCUUAAAGGGAUAUGUGAUCAAAAGAGAAUUGCUGUGUGAUGCGUUACACUACUGCUGGUCAGCUUUGGAAUAUAAUUUCCCCAAGAGAAUUUGUUGAUUUCUCCUAUACUGUGGGCUAUAAAGAAGGGCUUUUAUCUUGUGGUAAUAAUCUCAACAUGUUAUGCUUUUUUUCAGUAUGGUUUAAAUAUUUGUGUUUUCUUGGCUGGAUGUCUCUUUCCUUGUGAGAUAUAUUUUCAACUCUGACUCUGUAAUCACUAACAUUUUUUGCAAGUGCUAAACUCUAGGGAGUAAAAUAGCAAUAUCAAAAGAGUUUUGAAACCCUUCUGAUAAGUUUUUGUUCCCAGUUACACAGUAUCCUCUAGGUCAGAGGUAGCAAAUGUGGAUCACAUGACUGCCUCUAAGAAAGGGUUCUAGUAAAUGGAUUUUCUUCUAAGCCACUCUCAGAAAACAGUUUCUUGGUCAUACACAGAGAAGUACUAGAUUUGGUGUGUCUUAGAAUAUUCUUCCUUCCU
rnacentral:lncRNA from 1 species